GAUGAACGCUAGCGGCAGGCCUAAUACAUGCAAGCCGAACGGCAAGCUUUGUAGCAAUACAGAGCCUAGAGUGGCGUAAGGGUGCGUAACACGUAUGGAAUCUGCCCUCAACAGGAGGAUAGCUCCCCGAAAGGGGAAUUAACACUCCAUAGGAUAUAGGUGUGGCAUCACAUUUAUAUUAAACCGCAAGGGGUUGAGGAUGAGCAUGCGCAUGAUUAGUUAGUUGGC
rnacentral:rRNA from 1 species